AAUUCUCAAAACCCUUUCUUUUGGUCAUUUUCGACCGCGGAGAGGAUUUUGGACUUGGAGGCCUUUUUGCUGGCUUCACCUUGAAGCGAGCUCCUCCCAAAUGUAUUAGUGGGGUCUGCAUUGUCGGUCCUUGGCGUGAUAAGUUGUUUCUACGUCUUGGAUUUUUGGCGCUGUACACCUGCUUCCAACCGUCUCAUUGACAACGAUGGUGUUCCGGUCGCCGCCGAUUUUUCGGUGGGAGGCUUGACCCACGAAACAAA
rnacentral:misc_RNA from 1 species